rnacentral:ncRNA from 1 species
GUUAACCAGUGGCUUGGUUAAGAGAACUCACUGGAGCUGUAGUGAAAGCGAGUCUUCAUAGGACAAUUGUCAUUGCUUAUAGACUCGAACUUGGGUGAUCUAUCCAUAUUCAGGAUGAAAAUUAGGUGAAACUAAGUGGAGGUCCGAACCGACUGAUGUUGAAGAAUUAGUGGAUGAGUUGUGGUUAGGGAUGAAACGCCGCUCGAAUACAGAGCUAGUUGGUUCCCCUCGAAAUGUGUUGAGGCGCAAUAGUUGACUGUACAUCUAGGGGUAAAGCACUGUUUUGGUGCGGGCCACAAGAGCGGUACCAAAUUGAGGCAAACUUUGAAUAUUAGAUAUGACCUCAAAAUAACAGCGGUUGAAGUUGGUCCGUGAGACGAUGGGGAAUAAGUUUCAUCGUUGAGAGGGAAACAACCCAGACGACCAGCUAAAGCCCCUAAAUGACCGCCCAAUGAUAAAAGGGGUAGGGGUACAGAGACAGCUAGGAGGUUUGUCUAGAAGUAGCCACCCUUGAAAGAGUGCGUAAUAACUCGCCUUAAUAAUGUUAUCUUCAAGUUGGCUCAAAUAAUGAUUUUUUUAGUGAAUUAUAAGAGAAUGGUAAAGUACUAACAACAACGUGAUUAAUGCGACUUGAAUUUAAGUCGAUCCUUUAGUAGUA